rnacentral:rRNA from 1 species
CUACGGGUGGCUGCAGUGGGGAAUUUUGGACAAUGGGGGAAACCCUGAUCCAGCAAUGCCGCGUGUGUGAAGAAGGCCUGCGGGUUGUAAAGCACUUUCGGUUGGGAGGACUGCUUCUAGCACUAAUAUUGUUGGAAGUUGACGUUACCUUCAGAAGAAGCACCGGCUAACUCCGUGCCAGCAGCCGCGGUAAUACGGGAGGGUGCAAGCGUUAAUCGGAAUUACUGGGCGUAAAGCGCGCGUAGGCGGCUAGAUCAGUCGGGUGUGAAAGCCCCGGGCUUAACCUGGGAACUGCAUCCGAUACUGUCUAGCUUGAGUACAGGAGAGGAGAGUGGAAUUCCACAUGUAGCGGUGAAAUGCGUAGAUAUGUGGAGGAACACCAAUGGCGAAGGCAGCUCUCUGGCCUGAUACUGACGCUGAGGUGCGAAAGCGUGGGGAGCAAACAGGAUUAGAUACCCCCGUAGUC